rnacentral:RNase_P_RNA from 1 species
GAGCAGGUCGGGCGGUCGCGGGCGCAGGAGCGUCCGAGGAAAGUCCGGGCUCCACAGGGCGGGAUGCUGGGUAACGCCCAGUGGGGGCGACCCCAAGGACAGUGCCACAGAAAACCACCGCCCCUUCGGGGGUAAGGGUGAAAAGGUGCGGUAAGAGCGCACCAGCGGUCGGGCGACCGGCCGGCUGGGUAAACCCCAUCCGGAGCAAGACCGAAUAGGAGGGAGAUGAGGUGGCCCGCCGAUCCCUCGGGUUAGGUCGCUAGAAGCGCCAGGCAACUGGAGCUCCAGAUAGAUGACCGCCCACGACAGGACCCGGCUUACAGACCUGGUCG